rnacentral:rRNA from 1 species
AUCAUUACAGUAGUUUGGGGGUUGGAUGCUGGCCCGUAAGKCGUGUGCGCGCCCUUUCAUUUCUAAUCCCUCACACACACACCUGUGCACCUAUGGCGAGCGCCUCCCGUUUGGAGACGUCCGAUCGUAUAAGCCCCUUUGGGGGUUUAAAGAAGGUCGGGCUGAGGCGUUCCCUCUUUUUGCAUUUACAACACCGAUAGAAACCGCGUGUCUUUUGAGCUUUUAUGUCGUAUAACUUUCAACAACGGAUCUCUUGGCUUUUGCAUCGAUGAAGAACGCCGCGAAAGUGCGAAACGAAAUGUGAAUUGCAGAAUUCAGUGAAUCAUCGAAUCUUUGAACGCAUCUUGCGCUCCUUGGUAUUCCGAGGAGCAUGCCUGUUUGAGUGUCGUGAACUCCCCUCAAUUUCCUUUUUCCCCCUAGGGGGGAAARGGGGGGUUGGAUUUGGAUGUUGCGGGUUGUGCCCGCUCGUCUUUAAACGCAUCAGCUGGCCCCCCUUAGAGUCGGACCGAUGACGGUGUGAUAACAAACGCUUCGUUGACUGUGGCGCCGUUUGGGUCGACUUCAAAUCUGGGUCGCUUAUAGCCCCCUGUCCCCUGGGACACGAUAAUGUCAUCUGACCUCAAAUCAGGUAGGAUUACCCGCUGAACUUAAGCAUAUCAAUAAGCGGAGGAAAAGAAACUAACGAGGAUUC